AUGACUUGACAUCCGCUCUGCAGCAGUUAAGGUGUGCAAAAAAACGCGAUACUUGGAUGUUUUUGUGAGCAGAAGUGACGAGCAAAAUUCUCCACACAUUGGUGCCACAUGGCAGAGUAAACAUGGGUCCUGGUUCUGGUCCUCCUUAAAGGAAGGCAAGCGGAAAGAGCUGAGCCGAGCCGAGCCGAGCCUACCUGGUAAUCUCGAAGCUGCAGCCCUUGCGGAGGAGCAGCGCUCUCUUCCGCAUGAUGCCUUUGUCUCUGCCGAGACAGGACAAAAAGGUUUGGUGAGGGAGCCGACGAGCGCGCACCGUCGCCGGCCAGUCAACGCCUCCAUGCGAGCUUUCGGGGAACUGAGGCUGAGGGUGGGCUGAGGGCCGACGGGCGGGCGGGGGGCACUUGGGGCUUUCCAGGCGCGAGCGACCGAAGGGUAGCGAGUUGCUCCCUAGCUGGGGACAACUACGCUGCCUCCGUACACAGAGACGUGAGAAAGUGAGCGAGCGAGAGAGCGGGAGAGAGAGCGAGAAAGAAAGAGAGAGCGACAGAGAGGGAGAGAGGCCACAUUCUUAGUGCACCUGGACAAUUUUGUGCUCUCUUUUCAGGGUCGGUCUAAAAAUUGUUUUUGUUUUCCAAUCGUUCACAUUUUGUCAAUCUUGACAUUACAGCGAAGUUGAAGUUGAA